UGAGGAAUUUUGCGCAAUGGGAGCAAUCCUGACGCAGCAACGCCGCGUGAGUGAUGAAGGCCUUCGGGUCGUAAAGCUCUGUCAGGUGGGAAGAACGUCUUCGGACUGAAUGAGUUCGGGGAGUGACGGUACCACCAGAGGAAGCACCGGCUAACUCCGUGCCAGCAGCCGCGGUAAUACGGAGGGUGCGAGCGUUAUUCGGAAUUACUGGGCGUAAAGCGCGUGCAGGCGGGAAGACAAGUCUGAUGUGAAAGCCCCGGGCUUAACCUGGGAAGUGCAUUGGAAACUGUUUUUCUUGAGUACUGGAGAGGAAGGGGGAAUUCCCGGUGUAGAGGUGAAAUUCGUAGAGAUCGGGAGGAAUAUCAGUGGCGAAGGCGCCCUUCUGGACGGAUACUGACGCUGAGACGCGAAAGCGUGGGGAGCAAACAGG
rnacentral:rRNA from 1 species